rnacentral:rRNA from 1 species
AACGAACGCUGGCGGCAUGCCUAACACAUGCAAGUCGAACGAGACCUUCGGGUCUAGUGGCGCACGGGUGCGUAACGCGGGGGAACCUGCCCUUAGGUUCGGAAUAACUCCCCGAAAGGGGUGCUAAUACCGGAUAAUGUCUUCGGACCAAAGAUUUAUCGCCUUUGGAUGGGCCCGCGUUGGAUUAGCUAGUUGGUAGGGUAAAAGCCUACCAAGGCGACGAUCCAUAGCUGGUCUGAGAGGAUGAGCAGCCACACUGGGACUGAGACACGGCCCAGACUCCUACGGGAGGCAGCAGUGGGGAAUAUUGGAAAAUGGGCGAAAGCCUGAUCCAGCAAUGCCGCGUGAGUGAUGAAGGCCUUAGGGUUGUAAAGCUCUUUUACCCGGGAUGAUAAUGACAGUACCGGGAGAAUAAGCUCCGGCUAACUCCGUG